GUGAAAUCUCAUAAAUUUCAUGGGACACAAAUGCCAUUUAUUACUGAGAUGGCUCAGAUGCAGAGGCCAAGAGACACCUGAACAACCAAAGUGGAACUGGGAAGAGCAGACGAGGGGUCUGUUCAUGAACGCGGCUGCACUGCUCCAACCUCUAGUUUCUGAACUGCUAUUACAUCAAAUAAUGCCCCUAGGGACCUCUGCCACUGCCCUCUCUCACCUCAACAAAGAUUUCCUGGAGAAAAUUUCAUUUAAAAACUAAUUGAUAAUUUUUACAUGUGUGUUAUUUUUAACGACUGUGUGUACAAAGCAGAUUCUGUGGAUGAGAAUUGGUGAGUAAAAUAUAUUUGCUGUUUCCAUUAUUUAAUAUUUAGAUGUAGGUCAAUACCGCCCCCCAUCCCCUCCCCCAAUUUUCAAGUUAACCCAGAUCUUUCUAAUGGGUGCAGAAGGAUGAUGGAUGCUUAACAUAUUCUGCAGUUAGUUUUCAUGACAACAUUUAUGUCAGAUAAAAUUCUUCUAGGAUCUACCUGCUUUUAAAACUAAUUUACUUUUUACUACACUAUAGGUCUCACUAAUGUUCUAAGAUUCCUUUUUUUUUCUUUUUCUUUUUAUCAUUUUUCUCCUUUGAGGUUAAAAUAUGCAAAUCUGGAACCACACUGUAAGAGGUCAGAUCGUGGACAUUCUGGUUAGAUGACCUUUCACUGUAAAGCUGUUUCAUGGGAAGACCUCCUUUGAACCCUACUUAGCACUCUACUCCUUUCUCUUGAACUUCAGAAAGUUUCAUGGUUUCUUUUGAUGUCUUAUCACAGCAUCUCCAGGUGGACUCCGCUGUUUUCAGCUGCCGCUGGGAACAGGAAAAGCCACUGGCUACUGAGACAGUGGCUGACAUUACGGUCAACAUUCAGAAGUUGACAGACAAGUAACUUCUUCAACUUAUGGUCCACUGUCUUCUUCACGCUGCACGGCUCUUAGCAAGAGGGGUGAAUUGACGGGACGUUUUCAUCCUUGCAGGAUCAUAAGCAGAGAGAUGGUGGAGUGAGACCAUACUGAGGCCCUCUCAAGCACACAAGUUCACAUUCCUCUUUAACCAUCCAAUUUACCAUCUGUCAGCCUCAGAGACUCUUCCUAAACUCCAGCACACUUUCUCCCCCACCUCUCUUUUUCAUUUACAUUUGUAUUUCACAAGCUCAAGUGUUUUUUCUGAGACUUAGUUUUUUUUAAAAAAACAAACAAACAAAAAAAAAACAACUGUGAUGUUUGUCUAAUUCUGAUUCAGAAAUUCCCUUUCAAUCGUUGCAACAUUACCUGCCCCAAAUCCCACACAUGCAUUGCCAGCCACAGAACCUCCUGCAAUGUUCAGUUUCUGUGCGUGAUAUUUAAGCCGAAAAACACUCUCUCAUUUUAUUGUGCCAUUCUUCAGUCAUGAUCCGUGUGAC
rnacentral:lncRNA from 1 species